UACAGAGGGUGCGAGCGUUAAUCGGAAUUACUGGGCGUAAAGCGCGCGUAGGCGGCUUUGCAAGUCGGGUGUGAAAUCCCCAGGCUUAACCUGGGAACUGCAUUCGAGACUGCAUUGCUAGAGUAUGGGAGAGGGAAGUGGAAUUUCCGGUGUAGCGGUGAAAUGCGUAGAUAUCGGAAGGAACACCAGUGGCGAAGGCGGCUCACUGGACCGGAACUGACGCUGAGGCGCGAAAGCGUGGGGAGCAAACGGG
rnacentral:rRNA from 1 species